rnacentral:rRNA from 1 species
GACGAACGCUGGCGGCGUGCUUAACACAUGCAAGUCGAACGGAAAGGCCCUGCUUUUGUGGGGUGCUCGAGUGGCGAACGGGUGAGUAACACGUGAGUACCCUGCCCUUGCCUUUGGGGUAACUUCAGGAAGCUGGGGCUAAUACCGGAUAGGAGCUCCUGCUGCGUGGUGGGGGUUGGAAGGUUUCGGCGGUUGGGGAUGGACUCGCGGCUUAUCAGCUUGUUGGUGGGGUAGUGGCUUACCAAGGCUUUGACGGGUAGCCGGCCUGGGAGGGUGACCGGCCCCACUGGGAUUGAGAUAAGGCCCAGACUCCUACGGGAGGGAGGAGUGGGGAAGAGUGUACUAGGGGAGGAACGCUGAUGUGACAACGCAGCGCGGGGGAUGACGGCAUGGGGGUAGUAAACUGCUUCCGUUUGUGACGAAGUGUUAGUGACGGUAACGGGUAAAUAAGCACCGGCUAACUACGUG